rnacentral:rRNA from 1 species
UACGUAGGAGGCGAGCGUUAUCCGAAAUUACUGGGCGUAAAGGGGACGCAGGCGGUUUUUCAAGUCAGGUGUGAAAUCUCCCCGCUUAACGGGGAGGGGUCAUUUGAUACUGUAAAACUAGAGGGCAGCAGAGGGAGGUGGAAUUCCCGGAGUAGUGGUGAAAUGCGUAGAUAUCGGGAGGAACACCAGAGGCGAAGGCGGCCUCCUGGGCUGCAUCUGACGCUGAGGUCCGAAAGCGUGGGGAGCGAACAGGAUUAGAUACCCUCGUA